rnacentral:sRNA from 18 species
AUCUGUGUGAGGAGUGCUGAACGCCUCUUCAGGGUCGAAACAAGGACAGACUCCCUGAACGUGUUCCUCA